CAUUUUUUGGCGCGCUUUUCCACUCAUUUUGAAUAUGUAAAUUCAAAAUUUGUUUUUUAAUUUUUAAUUUAUAUUUUUUGUGUGUAAAACUUCAUAAGCCAGAAUUGAGUUAUUGGCUAUUUAACUGAAAAUGUAUAACGAAAUUCGGGUAUUUGUGUGAUUUGUAGGUAAAAACCAAGAUAAAAAUUGCGUGUUGAUUAUGGGGUAUACAAUAUACAUCAAAUUAUGUGAACGCACAUUGGAUGUUUUCGCUUCGGAGUUUCACCGUGGUCAAACCACAAAUAAUUUAUGUCGGUGUAUGCACACGUCCAUUGGAUAUUUAUCAAAUUAGCUUCAAACGAGUUUUUAGCUAGUCUUUUCCGUUCUCAAUACUAAUGCAUACAUACAGGAACAUAUGCUCAUCAAAAAUUUAUGACAGUUAUUGUCAUGAAUAUCCACUUAAGGUGACAAUCUUGUGUCACAGCCACCUUCACUGCGAUCGCUCAGCCGCAUAAUCCCACGAUCCGGUCAGUUUCUCGUGUCAGUGUUUUCCAUUACAAAACACCUCACGUCCGAAAACAAAACUUACUACAAUUGUACAAACAUCCAUACACUUGCAUGUAGUCAUGCAUGUGUACAUAUAUACAGACAGAGCAGAUUGUCGGCGAUUGCGCAGAUAUUUUUCAUAGCGGCUUAGUUGCAUGCAUGUGUACAUAUAAUAUGUAUGUAUAUUCUUUGGCAUUACAUAAUGAGUGCCUGCACAAGGCGCGGUACACAUGAUGUAUAUUUACCAAAACAUACACAUGUACAUAUGUACAUACAUAUAUAUAAUAUAUAUAAAUUUAAUGCCAUAUUGACGUGCAUAUUGCAUACUCUUAUAAAAAAUAUGUUAACAUCUUGAUAACUAUUGUUAUCACGAAAGUUUUAAAACUCCUCUGGUCUAUUGACCAUUUAUUAUUGAUCACUUGUUUAAGCCACAAAUGUAUUUGGACGCAUGAGUUUGCUUUCUGAAAGGAUCUUUUCUCUGAAAUCUCAUUUGAUGGUAGUAUUUUGGAUUUGACAUACAUUCCUGACAUAGAUUCAUAGAAAACUGUGACAAAGUGUACACCUAAGCAACAAUACAAUAUAUAUAUAUAUGUACGAUUUAAUAUGUAUGUAGACGGUGAUAGACGAUUUUCCCACUCAUUUGCGGAAAUAGAUUUAAACGGCGACAAUGAAGAAUAAAAACACCCCGAAGCCCAAUCGAAAAUUGGCAUUAAUUGCUUUAAAUGUCGACUGCUUUUCAUGUGCAAUUCUUUGCUGAUGUCCACUUAGUUGGCGACGGUUGCUUCAGCGCCUCCACAAGUUUAGACAAGAAAGCGGUGGCUUUAAGUUGACAUACACAAACACAGACAAUAGGUUAGCUACAGUUUGCGAAUAGAAAUAAAUAAGAAUAUCUACAUUCAUACGAACUUAUGUAUGUACAUAUUUUUGGCGAUCGUCUGAGCAUUCUAGUUUUGCUUUUAGUGAAGAUGCUCACUUCUCUGUAGGACAAGUCGGGAUUAGAGCUACAUAGCUACAUGCUAUAUAUAAUACUAUAAUGACGGCAUCAGAAAGGCAGUUGCAACAAUACUAUCAACAGUAGCGAAGAUAAUAAUAAAAGCAACAAUUCCCAUAAAAUAAGGUUUUGUACAGUAGGUAGAUUAAUAUGGCAUGGAAAUAGUGCAGCGACCAGCCACAUUCGUCCAUCGCAAUAAAAGUUCGUGAGAACUCGAUGAUUAUCGUUGCUUGCUUUGAAGUUUGUUCAAGUCAAGAACGCCGUUUCCACUACAACACUUGCAUGACUUUUGUCCUUUGGUGCGGGGGCUAUAUGUGUGUAUCGUGUAUGUACUUGUAUGUAUAUUUGUAAAUUUAUAUGGUAUGAGUCGACUACAAAUAAUGUUUGCUAAUUGUUGAUACCAAAUUUCAUAAGUUUCAAAAUAUAUUGCUCGGUAACCACAAAC